UUGGGCUGUAAUUUUAUACUGUAUAUGCAUAACAAUAUAUUAUAGAUGAGUACUUUGCGCACGACAGAUUAUAUACAAUUUACAUGCAAAGAUUCAUGCCAACUAUCGAUUGAUUCCUUGAUUUGGGUCCAACUGAAGUCAGAUUGUAGCAUCAACCAAUCGUACAAAGAUCGAUAUGGCAAUUUCGACCAUGAAAUUACUUUUGAUGAGAUAUCUGAAAUAAUUAAUUUCGAGUAGAAAUUUAUUUUACCUGCAAAAGAGAGUAGAUUUUCUUUACUGAGUUUCGCAAAAAGAAAAGAUUUUCUUUACUGAAUACGUAUGGUAUAUAUCUUUUCGAAUUUCUUAUGAAAAAAUGUCAGUUACGGCAGGAGCAGGAACCAUUUUCACCUCCAGCCAUUACUUACCUCCUGCCACUUACCAUUUUUUUACGUGCGGCCCAUCUUGUAUCCGCCAUGUGCCCACGUCCUCCCAUCCCACCCCUUUCCCUCCGAAACCUCCCAGUCCCACACCGCAUCUUCUCUUCUCCCAAGUCCCAACAACUUCUUCGCCGCCGCCGUCAUGCGCCAACAGCGCUGUCGCCCGUUGACCCGGCUGCGCCCUCACCCUCGUCGCUCUCCCUGGCUCAGCAACAUCACCCACUCCCUGCUCUUCCUCCCGACGCGGAAGUGUCCUUUCGGGUCUCGUCUCCGUCUUCGUGGUCCUCAGAUCUGGCAGCCUCCGGCCACAACGCUGCCGGAUCUAACCAACCAAUAGGUGCUCGACGCCGCUCCUCAGGACCGCGUCGGUCUUCUUCGUCUGCUCUCUCUCUCCCUCAACCUCCCACGGCAUGUAUCGGCCCCUUCUGAAACUCCUCAUCCGAGUGGCCACCUGAUGCCGCCGUGUAGAACACGCUCACUCCUGCCUUUGCCCGCCUGUACCAGGAUUUGCUCCUGUGGUUCAAGUUGAAUACCGGGGAGAUGGAGAUGGUGACAUGGCUGGCUUCUGUGGUGGUGAGGUUCAAGUUCUACAACGAGGUCAUGGUUGUUUGCAUGUCUGUUUAGGUCUAUUUUUUGUGUGUAUGGUUGAAAAACAAAGCCAUUCCUAUUAGUUUGGAAAAUAAAGUCAAGCUUAUGUGUUAAAAAUAGUUUGAUUAACUAGCAAGUGGCCAUUUUGCAACGGUGAGAUGAGCUAGCUAGCUUGUGUUGAUGCAUGUAUGUUUGGUCAAGGCUAGCUAGCUGCAGCAGUUUGACUAGUACAUAAGAGAAGAGACACUAUGUCAGCAUGUGCAAUCAGAAUCGGGAUGUAUACUUCACACUAUUGUAUAACUUAACUAGCAGUCCUCCAUUCAUGUAGAUGUAGUACGUACAUUUCUUGUUUUUUUUCCAAGUUUUUUCAUCUCGCUUUUGCUUUUCUUUUCAGUAUUUUGUAUUUCUGUAACAUUUAGCUCCUGUUCCUAAGGCUGAUGCAUCCAGUGACAUGUCAACAUUAUGUCCUGUGUGUUCUUUCUUCAAGAUGUAGUGCAGGGGUUCUUAUUUGAUGUUAUUCAAAAAUUCUCCGGUUUCAUGUUA